UUUCGAUGAAUAAUUAGAAAUCUCAAUCUGAAAAUAAUUCAUCAUGAACUAAUUAAUUAACACAAAUGUCUUUUGAUUAAGGUGAACGGUAAGGAGGUGUGGGACGAGGACAGAAAAUGGCAAAGCAUCAUCAUUCAUCAUCCUUACCGGCCUGCGGGUGAAUUAAUCAGGACAUUGAACUUUUGUCAUCAUGUCCACACUCUCAACUGCUCAUAAAACAGAUAUCCCACGUAACUUAUUAUGAAGGCAGAAUUGAAAGUUAGACGAACAACAAAGGAUUUCUCUCAGAACCAGUUGAGAGUAAUAUAUUGUAAACCUUUCUCAACGGGGUGUUGAAGAGGAUCGAGUAAGGAAGAACUCCGAGGGCUGCCGAAGGAGGAUGAAAGUGGGAAAACCAUGUGGGUUAUCACAGUUGUUAUGGAAAUGAAAAUGCUCCUGAUUUUUGUUCAACUCAUGGAAUUCGAGGAUGUUUUAGGGCGUUUGAAGAAGACUCCAGAGUGCACAUUUUUUUUAAAAAGUUGGUGUAAUUAAGAAGAUAGAAAUGAAAGGAUGAAAGGGAAGACAUUGGAGAAUGUGAAGGUAUAGAAAAGAAAGGGUAUCUUAAAGUUUGUAUUGGGAAGAUGAGAAAUUAAAAAAAGAAAAAGAGAAAAAAAGCAUAUUUCAAGGGUGGAUGGGACCUCAUGACUUCAAUCACAAAAUGAAGUAAUAAAAAAGAGACAUCAAAAUGCUUAAAAUAAGGCCGCGUUUGGUGGAAAUCGAGAUGUUAUUUUAAUGCAUAAUUCUUGCCCAUUGGGGACCAACUGUCCGGACCUUAGGACCUUAAUUUUCAUUUAAUUUUUUAAUAAUACAUGUGCGGUUCGAGUAAA